rnacentral:rRNA from 1 species
AUACGGAGGGGGCUAGCGUUGUUCGGAAUUACUGGGCGUAAAGCGCGCGUAGGCGGAUUAGUCAGUUGGGGGUGAAAGCCCGGAGCUCAACUCCGGAAUUGCCUUCAAUACUGCUAGUCUUGAGUCCGAGAGAGGGUGGUGGAAUUCCCAGUGUAGAGGUGAAAUUCGUAGAUAUUGGGAAGAACACCAGUGGCGAAGGCGGCCACCUGGCUCGGUACUGACGCUGAGGUGCGAAAGCGUGGGGAGCAAACAGGAUUAGAAACCCCAGUAGUCC